rnacentral:rRNA from 1 species
AACAAAAACAUGUCUUUUUGAAAAUAAUUUAAAGUUUAACCUGCCCAAUGAGAAAUUAAAUGGCUGCAGUAAAUUGACUGUACAAAGGUAGCAUAAUCAUUAGUUUUUUAAUUUAAAGCUGGAAUGAAUGGUUGGACGAAAUAUUAACUGUCUUAAAUUAAUAAAUAGAAUUUAAUUAUUUAGUUAAAAAGCUAAAAUAAAAAUAAAAGACGAGAAGACCCUAUAGAUCUUUAUAUUUAAUUAAUUAAAAUUAAUUUAGAAAUGUAUAUAAUUUAUUUAAUUAAGUAUUUUAUUGGGGUAAUAUAGAGAUUUAAUAAAUUCUUUUUUAAUUAUACAUAAAUUAAUGGUUAAAAUUUGAUCCUUUUUUAAGAUAAUAAGAUUAAGUUACCUUAGGGAUAACAGCGUAAUUUUUUUGGAGAGUUCAUAUCGAUAAAAGAGUUUGCGACCUCGAUGUUG